GGUGUCGUGGUGUAGAACGUCAGUCUAACACACUGAAGGUCUCUGGUUCGAGUCCGGGCGACGCCA